rnacentral:rRNA from 1 species
GAUGAACGCUGGCGGCGUGCCUAAUACAUGCAAGUCGAGCGAACAGACGAGGAGCUUGCUCCUCUGACGUUAGCGGCGGACGGGUGAGUAACACGUGGAUAACCUACCUAUAAGACUGGGAUAACUUCGGGAAACCGGAGCUAAUACCGGAUAAUAUAUUGAACCGCAUGGUUCAAUAGUGAAAGACGGUUUUGCUGUCACUUAUAGAUGGAUCCGCGCCGCAUUAGCUAGUUGGUAAGGUAACGGCUUACCAAGGCAACGAUGCGUAGCCGACCUGAGAGGGUGAUCGGCCACACUGGAACUGAGACACGGUCCAGACUCCUACGGGAGGCAGCAGUAGGGAAUCUCCGCAAUGGGCGAAAGCCUGACGGAGCAACGCCGCGUGAAUGAUGAAGGUCUUCGGAUCGUAAAACUCUGUUAUUAGGGAAGAACAAAUGUGUAAGUAACUAUGCACGUCUUGACGGUACCUAAUCAGAAAGCCACGGCUAACUACGUG